CAAGUCGCACGAGAAAGUGGAGCAAUCCAUGAGUAAAGUGGCGCACGGGUGAGUAACACGUGAAUGAUCUACCUCCGAGUGGGGAAUAACUGAGAGAAAUCUUAGCUAAUACCGCAUAAUACCCACGGGUCAAAGCAGUAAUGCGCUUGGAGAGGAGUUCGCGGCCGAUUAGCUAGUUGGCGGGGUAAUGGCCCACCAAGGCGAUGAUCGGUAUCCGGCCUGAGAGGGCGCACGGACACACUGGAACUGAAACACGGUCCAGACUCCUACGGGAGGCAGCAGUGGGGAAUUUUGCGCAAUGGGGGAAACCCUGACGCAGCAACGCCGCGUGGAGGAUGAAAUCCCUUGGGAUGUAAACUCCUUUCGAUAGGGAAGAUAAUGACGGUACCUAUAGAAGAAGCCCCGGCUAACUUCGUGCCAGCAGCCGCGGUAAUACGAGGGGGGCAAGCGUUGUUCGGAAUUAUUGGGCGUAAAGGGUGCGUAGGCGGUUUGACAAGUCUGAUGUGAAAUCUAUGGGCUCAACCCAUAGUCUGCAUCGGAAACUGUCGGGCUUGAGUAUGGGAGAGGUGAGUGGAAUUUCCGGUGUAGCGGUGAAAUGCGUAGAUAUCGGAAGGAACACCUGUGGCGAAAGCGGCUCACUGGACCAUUACUGACGCUGAGGCACGAAAGCUAGGGGAGCAAACAGGAUUAGAUACCCUGGCAGUCCUAGCCCUAAACGAUGAUUGCUUGAUGUGGCAGGUACCCAAUCCUGCCGUGUCGAAGCUAACGCGAUAAGCAAUCCGCCUGGGGAGUACGGUCGCAAGGCUGAAACUCAAGGAAUUGACGGGGGCCCGCACAAGCGGUGGAGCAUGUGGUUUA
rnacentral:rRNA from 1 species